rnacentral:lncRNA from 1 species
CUUGGACUUGCCGUGAGAUCUGGGGUUGCUGGUGCUCAAUUGACCCGAUUCAAUUCGAUCUUUGAGGUUUCGGAUCUGUUCCAGCUCCGCCACCAGCCGACUCCGUAGAUCAUGGAGCUCGGUUUUGCUGUACGAGGCAACGUUGUAGGUCAUAUAUCCUCCAAGAUUGAGGCCGUCAACGUUGGCACUUGAUUCGAUCGGCCGUUGAUUAAACGAAUAGGCAUCAUCUGACGCGGUUUGCGUCACGGCCGGCAAUUCAUCGUUGUGACAACCGUUAGAUGCGUGAUGGAAUUGCUUCUGCUUUUUCUUAGGGUUAGGGUUAGAGUUAGGGUUCAGAUGUGUGUGAGAAUAAGGGGUUUUCCCCAUGAAUCCACCGCCGGCACCACCAGACUGAGCCCAGCUAGAUUCAUUCCGGCUAGCUAAGACGGCGGAUGCCAUGAAUUGCACCGGCACAGGUGGAAUUGAUCGUUAUCAGAUGGUGUUGAAAUCAUGAAUUGAAAGGGACGUGAUAGCCACGCGCCCGCUGGAAUCCAACAAAGUACCUCCGAUUACAACCUCCCGACGACGAUAAAACAAAAAGGAGAAAAAAAUCUUUAAAAUAUGGGAACCCAAUUGGAAGGCAAGGGUUUGAAG